CACGUAGGGCGCAAGCGUUGCCCGGAAUUAUUGGGCGUAAAGAGCUCGUAGGUGGUCUGUUGCGUCCGCUGUGAAAACUCGGGGCUUAACCCCGAGCCUGCAGUGGAUACGGGCAGACUAGAGGUAGGUAGGGGAGAAUGGAAUUCCUGGUGUAGCGGUGAAAUGCGCAGAUAUCAGGAGGAACACCGGUGGCGAAGGCGGUUCUCUGGGCCUUACCUGACACUGAGGAGCGAAAGCGUGGGGAGCGAACAGG
rnacentral:rRNA from 1 species